GACGAACGCUGGCGGCGUGCUUAACACAUGCAAGUCGAACGGAAAGGCCCUGCUUUUGUGGGGUGCUCGAGUGGCGAACGGGUGAGUAACACGUGAGUAACCUGCCCUUGACUUUGGGAUAACUUCAGGAAACUGGGGCUAAUACCGGAUAGGAGCUCCUGCUGCAUGGUGGGGGUUGGAAAGUUUCGGCGGUUGGGGAUGGACUCGCGGCUUAUCAGCUUGUUGGUGGGGUAGUGGCUUACCAAGGCUUUGACGGGUAGCCGGCCUGAGAGGGUGACCGGCCACAUUGGUACUGAGAUACGGCCCAGACUCCUACGGGAGGCAGCGGUGGGGAAUAUUGCCCAAUGGGCGGAAGCCUGAUGCAGCAACGCCGCGUGCGGGAUGACGGCCUUCGGGUUGUAAACCGCUUUCGCCUGUGACGAAGCGUGAGUGACGGUAAUGGGUAAAGAAGCACCGGCUAACUACGUG
rnacentral:rRNA from 1 species